rnacentral:rRNA from 1 species
AUGGUCCUUGGCUACCCUCAGCCGGAGGCCCAAUCUAUUGUUGAUCGCUUGAACUGUAGGCUGGGGUCCUUCCCCACGACCUACCUGGGGAUCCCCAUUAGUGACUCGCGCCUCACCGUGGCGGACCUCCGUCCUACGGUGACCCAUAUGCAACACCGUGUCGAACCUUGGAAAGGGCGUUGGCUAUCAAAGGCCGCUCGGGUGAUCCUCAUCAACUCCUCACUCGCCAGCCUCCUUUGGUUCCUCAUGAGCUUUUACAGCCUCCAUGAAACGCUGCACACGGAAAUAGCCAAAUACCAAUCCAGGUUCUAUUGGGCUGGCGACGAUGACAGGCAGAAGUACCACAUGGUGAGUUGGCCGGACAUCUGUAAACCAAAAGACCAGGGGGGUCUUGGGAUUCUGUCCUCCCGCCGCAUGAACAUUGCCCUCCUGACCCGGUGGCCGUGGCGCAUCGCCAAUGGGGACGGAGGCCUGUGGCUCACCAUCAUCCGCAGCAAAUAUCUUCGUGGUUAG